UAGAUCUCAAAUCAGGUAGGACUACCCGCUG
rnacentral:rRNA from 1 species